rnacentral:piRNA from 1 species
CCAGAAAAUAUCUUUCCACAGACAUC